UACGUAGGGGGCAAGCGUUGUCCGGAAUUAUUGGGCGUAAAGAGCGCGUAGGCGGUCCGGUAAGUCAGCUGUGAAAGUCCAGGGCUCAACCCUGGGAUGCCGACCGAUACUGUCGGACUAGAGUUCGGAAGAGGCGAGUGGAAUUCCCGGUGUAGCGGUGAAAUGCGCAGAUAUCGGGAGGAACACCUAUGGCGAAGGCAGCUCGCUGGGACGUUACUGACACUGAGGCGCGAAAGCGUGGGGAGCGAACAGG
rnacentral:rRNA from 1 species